CCUACGGGAGGCAGCAGUGGGGAAUAUUGGGCAAUGGGCGCAAGCCUGACCCAGCAACGCCGCGUGAAGGAAGAAGGCUUUCGGGUUGUAAACUUCUUUUCUCAGGGACGAAGCAAGUGACGGUACCUGAGGAAUAAGCCACGGCUAACUACGUGCCAGCAGCCGCGGUAAUACGUAGGUGGCAAGCGUUAUCCGGAUUUACUGGGUGUAAGGGGCGUGUAGGCGGGAAAGCAAGUCAGAUGUGAAAACCAUGGGCUCAACCUGUGGCCUGCAUUUGAAACUGUUUUUCUUGAGUACUGGAGAGGCAGACGGAAUUCCUAGUGUAGCGGUGAAAUGCGUAGAUAUGAGGAGGAACACCAGUGGCGAAGGCGGUCUGCUGGACAGCAACUGACGCUGAGGCGCGAAAGCGUGGGGAGCAAACAGGAUUAGAUACCCCUGUAGUC
rnacentral:rRNA from 1 species